UACGUAGGCAGCAAGCGUUGUUCGGAGUUACUGGGCGUAAAGGGUGCGUAGGCGGCCUUAUAAGUAUGGUGUGAAAUCUCCCGGCUUAACUGGGAGGGUGCGCUAUAGACUGUGGGGCUAGAGUGUGGGAGAGGAAAGUGGAAUUCCUGGUGUAGCGGUGAAAUGCGUAGAUAUCAGGAGGAACACCGGUGGUGUAAACGGCUUUCUGGACCAUAACUGACGCUUAGGCACGAAAGCGUGGGUAGCAAACAGG
rnacentral:rRNA from 1 species